GAUGAACGCUAGCGGCAGGCUUAAUACAUGCAAGUCGAGGGGCAGCAUGGUGUAGCAAUACACUGAUGGCGACCGGCAAACGGGUGCGGAACACGUACAGAACCUUCCUUCGAGCGGGGAAUAGCCCAGAGAAAUUUGGAUUAAUACCCCAUAGUAUAUUGAAAAGGCAUCUUUUUAAUAUUAAAGAUUUAUCACUUGAAGAUGGCUGUGCGGCUGAUUAGGUAGUUGGCGGGGUAACGGCCCACCAAGCCUGCGAUCAGUAACUGGUGUGAGAGCACGACCAGUCAAACGGGCACUGGGACACGGGCCCGACUCCUACGGGAGGCAGCAGUAAGGAAUAUUGGUCAAUGGACGAAAGUCUGAACCAGCCAUGCCGCGUGGAGGAUGAAGGUCCUCUGGAUUGUAAACUUCUUUUAUAUGGGACGAAAAAAGGCUUUUCUAAGUCGUCUGACGGUACCAUAUGAAUAAGCACCGGCUAACUACGUGCCAGCCGCCGCGGUAAUAC
rnacentral:rRNA from 1 species